rnacentral:rRNA from 1 species
AACGAACGCUGGCGGCAGGCUUAACACAUGCAAGUCGAACGCCCCGCAAGGGGAGUGGCGCACGGGUGAGUAACGCGUGGGAAUACGCCCUUCGGUUCGGAAUAACACAGGGAAACUUGUGCUAAUACCGGAUACGAUCUACGGAUGAAAGAUUUAUCGCCGAGGGAGUAGCCCGCGUAGGAUUAGCUAGUUGGUGAGGUAAUGGCUCACCAAGGCGACGAUCCUUAGCUGGUCUGAGAGGAUGAUCAGCCACACUGGGACUGAGACACAGCCCAUACUCCAACGGGAGGCAGCAGUGGGGAAUAUUGGACAAUGGGCGAAAGCCUGAUCCAGCCAUGCCGCGUGAGUGAUGAAGGCCUUAGGGUUGUAAAGCUCUUUCGCCAGGGAAGAUAAUGACGGUACCUGGAAAAGAAGCCUCGGCUAACUCCGUGCCAGCCGCCGCAGUAAUAC